rnacentral:rRNA from 1 species
CCCUAGUAACGGCGAGUGAAGAGGGAAGAGCCCAAGAUUGAAAGCUGGCGUCUUUGGCGUCUGCAUUGUAAUCUCAAGAAGUGUUUUCCGCUUUGGACCAUGCCUAAGUCCCUUGGAAAAGGGCAUCAUAGAGGGUGAUAAUCCCGUACAUGGCAUGGAGCGCCCGAAGCUUUGUGAUACACUUUCUAAGAGUCGAGUUGUUUGGGAAUGCAGCUCAAAAUGGGUGGUAAAUGCCAUCUAAGGCUAAAUAUUGGGGAGAGACCGAUAGCGAACAAGUACAGUGAUGGAAAGAUGAAAAGAACUUUGAAAAGAGAGUUAAACAGUACGUGAAAUUGCCAAAAGGGAAGGGUAGGAGGUCAGAGAUGCGGUCUGGGAUUCAGCCUUGCUUUUGCUGGGUGUUUUUCUCAGAUUGCAGGCCAACGUCGGUUUUGGGCGCUGGAGAAGGGUGGAAGGAAUGUGGCACCUCUCGGGGUGUGUUAUAGCCUUCUACUGGAUACAGUGACCGAGACCGAGGACAGCAGCGUACUCGCAAGAGCGGGCCUUCGGGCACCUUUACGCUUAGGGCGUUGGCAUAAUGGCCCUCUACCACCCGUCUUGAAACACGGACCAAGGAGUCU